rnacentral:rRNA from 1 species
UAUGUGAUCGUCUCUCGCAUAUCAAUAAGCGGAGGAAAAGAAACUAACAAGGAUUCCCCUAGUAACGGCGAGUGAAGCGGGAAGAGCUCAAAUUUGAAAUCUUAAAGGGUUUCCCUUUACGAAUUGUAGUUUAAAGAAGUGUUUUCUGUUGAGGUUUUGGUAAAAGUUCUUUGGAAUAGGACAUCAUAGAGGGUGAGAAUCCCGUAUUUGACCUUUACUUUCAACUUUGUGAUACACUUUCAAAGAGUCGGAUUGUUUGGGAAUGCAGUCCAAAAUGGGUGGUAAAUUUCAUCUAAAGCUAAAUAUUGGCGAGAGACCGAUAGCGAACAAGUACCGUGAGGGAAAGAUGAAAAGAACUUUGAAAAGAGAGUUAAACAGUACGUGAAAUUGUCAAAAGGGAAGCGUUUGACACCAGUGUUGUUUUUCUGAAAAUCAAUUAAAGAACUGUUUAUGCUAAGUUGUUUAGACUUUAUCAGCUAACUGUUUAGUUUUGAGCUUUUCUUUAAUGCACUUUUCAGUUAACAAGUCAACAUCAAUUUCUUUUGCUGUAAAAAAGCUUGAGGAAGGUGGCUUGAGAUUCGUCUUAAGUGUUUAUAGCCUCUUGCCUAUGCAGUCGGAGAGAUUGAGGUCUGCAGCGUAGAUCCUUCGGGGCUAAAUGCAUUUGUGCUAAGUUAUAGCAUUUUCAUAGACAACUUGUUGACUAUGAUUUGUCUUGUAGCUUACUCGCUUAUGUUAUUUUACCUACGCUUAGGAUGUUGAUAUGCAUGACUGAUAU